rnacentral:rRNA from 1 species
GAAGGUCACGGCGAGACGAGCCGUUUAUCAUUACGAUAGGUGUCAAGUGGAAGUGCAGUGAUGUAUGCAGCUGAGGCAUCCUAACAGACCGGUAGACUUGAACCUUGUUCCUACAUGACCCGAUCAAUUCGAUCGGGCACUCGCCAUCUAUUUUCAUUGUUCAACUCUUUGACAACAUGAAAAACCAAAAGCUCUGCCCUCCCUCUAUCUAUCCAAGGGAUGGAAGGGCAG